rnacentral:rRNA from 1 species
CCUACGGGAGGCAGCAGUGAGGAAUAUUGGUCAAUGGACGAGAGUCUGAACCAGCAACGUAGCGUGAAUGAUGACUGUCCUAUGGGUUGUAAACUUCUUUUUUAUGGGAGUAAAAUGUUCCACGUGCGUGAUUAUGUAUGUACCAUAUGAAUAAGGAUCGGCUAACUCCGUGCCAGCAGCCGCGGUAAUACGGAGGAAGCGAGCGUUAUCCGGAUUGAUUGGGUUGAAAGGGAGCGUAGGUGGAUUGUUAAGUCAGUUGUGAAAGUUUGCGGCUCAACCGUAGAAUUGCAGUUGAAACUGGCAGUCUUGAGUGCAGUAGAGGUGAGCGGAAUU